rfam:Aedes albopictus isolate Foshan contig55009, whole genome shotgun sequence.
UAGCCUAGUGGUCAAGGCUAUGGAUCGCCAAUCCGGAGACGGCGGGUUCGAUUCCCGU